rnacentral:rRNA from 1 species
UUUUAUGGAGAGUUUGAUCCUGGCUCAGAGUGAACGCUGGCGGCGUGCCUAAUACAUGCAAGUCGAACGAUGAAGCUUUCUAGCUUGCUAGAAGGCCGAUUAGUGGCGCACGGGUGAGUAACGCAUAGGUCAUGUGCCUCUUAGUUUGGGAU